AUUGAACGCUGGCGGCAUGCUUUACACAUGCAAGUCGAACGGUAGAGGGGGCAACCCCUUGAGAGUGGCGAACGGGUGAGUAAUGCAUCGGAACGUGCCCAGUCGUGGGGGAUAACGCAGCGAAAGCUGCGCUAAUACCGCAUACGAUCUGAGGAUGAAAGCGGGGGACCGUAAGGCCUCGCGCGAUCGGAGCGGCCGAUGUCAGAUUAGGUAGUUGGUGGGGUAAAGGCCCACCAAGCCGACGAUCUGUAGCUGGUCUGAGAGGACGACCAGCCACACUGGGACUGAGACACGGCCCAGACUCCUACGGGAGGCAGCAGUGGGGAAUGUUGGACAAUGGGCGAAAGCCUGAUCCAGCAAUGCCGCGUGCAGGAAGAAGGCCUUCGGGUUGUAAACUGCUUUUGUACGGAGCGAAAAGGUCCUUUCUAAUACAAGGGGCUCAUGACGGUACCGUAAGAAUAAGCACCGGCUAACUACGUGCCAGCAGCCGCCGUAA
rnacentral:rRNA from 1 species